UUAUCUUUUUUCUGCUAAGAGGAAGGUUAUGUUGCCACAAAUGUUAUUGUAAUAUUAAAUACAUUAUGCAAUUUUUUUAUAUUAUAUGAUAUUUCAGAUUAUCCUAAAGGGAGGGGAUCCAUUAAAAUGAUAAUGUUGUCGCUUUUUGUAGUGGCAAGUGUUGUAAGCAAAAACAUUUCUACUCCAACCCUUGUGAGCUAGAUGAUUAAAUUGAUUCGAUUAGUGGAUCAGCAAAAAGCAAGCUAUGAUGUAGGGUAGAUCACCACGUUGCAUACACUUGUACAAGCACAGGGUGGGAUAUAUCGGUUAGGUGAUAGAAUUUUAGUUGGAAUAAGAGGUGAAAAAAAAGAGUAUAUUAGUUGGAUUGAAACACCAACAGAUCCCUAAAGUUCCCAAGUUUGAUAGCAACAAUCUGGUACUCGUAGAUAACGGCAUACCUCUAGUAUACAGUACAAAAAUACAGGUGUCUAUUCCACAUAUACUCCGAACAGAAAUGAAAGAACAGAUUCACAGCAAAGGAGAUUAUACUAAACUAAGAGCGAUUGCAUCCAGAUUCGUGUAGUGUAUCUACCUUGCCUACUAUUACAUGUAUUAAAUAUUUCAUUGUAAUGUUAAUUGUACUUAUUCAGUAUUUACUGCCAAACUUGUAGUAUGGAAGUGUAUUACUCAUGUAUCUCUGUGUAUUUUAUUGUAUAUUAAUAUUUUAAUAAUAAAAUUACCACAU